rnacentral:rRNA from 1 species
GGCCGCGGGAAUUCGAUUCAGGCCUAACACAUGCAAGUCGAACGGCAGCAUAGGUGCUUGCACCUGAUGGCGAGUGGCGAACGGGUGAGUAAUACAUCGGAACGUGCCCAGUCGUGGGGGAUAACGUAGCGAAAGUUACGCUAAUACCGCAUACGAUCUAUGGAUGAAAGCGGGGGACCGUAAGGCCUCGCGCGAUUGGAGCGGCCGAUGUCAGAUUAGGUAGUUGGUGGGGUAAAGGCUCACCAAGCCAACGAUCUGUAGCUGGUCUGAGAGGACGACCAGCCACACUGGGACUGAGACACGGCCCAGACUCCUACGGGAGGCAGCAAUGGGGAAUUUUGGACAAUGGGCGCAAGCCUGAUCCAGCAAAGCCGCGUGCAGGACGAAGGCCUUCGGGUGUAAACUUAAUGGUACGGAGCGAAAAGCCUUGGGUUAAUACCUCGAGGUCAUGAC